CAUUACCUCUUCCACAACGUUCCUGCCCGGAGAGAGGACUACACCAACAUCACCGGGUCGUCCUGCUUUCCCCUCUCUUUCUGCGGCCACAGAUGGGUGGAAAAUGUGCCGGUUGCAGAGAGAGUCCUGGAAGUUUGGACCAUGAUUCAGAAGUUUGUCAAUGCUGUUGAGGAUAAGAAGGUCACAAAACCAAACACGGCCUCUUAUGAUGCCAUCCUGGCAGCACAAGGGGAUCCACUCUUAAUCCCAAAGCUUCAAUUCUUCCUCGCCAUUGCGAGAAGUUUUAACCCAUUUCUCAAGAAGUACCAAACAGACGAGCCAGUGUUGCCUUUUUUGGAAGAAGAUUUAACUGAGCUCCUGUUGAGUUUACUGCGGCGGUUCAUCAAAAGGGAACUCCUACAGGACCAAACCCCCCUGCAGCUGAUUAAAUUGGACAUCUCUGAGGAGAAGAACUGGGUCUCCCUCAAAAGGGUAGAUAUAGGCUUGGGGGCUGAAUCUGCCAUCAAGGUAAUUUUAUUGUUGUUUAUUUGUUUUGCGGGGUGAAUUUGUGAAUUAUGAUGCUUGCACAAAUCAACUAGCAAAUACAAUUUGUUCAGUAUUAAUAUUAUCAUCACAAUAAGUUAUGUAAACAUUUCCUUUCAAAGAAAGCAUUGACAUGAAUGUUCCUUAAUGUUCCUUAAUAGGCACUCCUGGGCAAACCAGGAUCAAAGAUAGGUGAACUCUCUGUACUCCACCUCAGAAAAGAGUGUUUGCAGGGUCUGAUUAAGAUCGUAAAGAAACUGCAGGAGAAAUCGCCAUUGAAAUUCCCCAUAGUUAGGCAGAUCACCUGUUUGGAUCCCACAAGGAUGGCCAGGGAUCCAGAGUGGUGCAUCCUACAGAUGAAGUCAUUAGUGCAGGCUUUCAUCCAGGGGCAGCAGCUGGCAGGUGGCAUUGCAGCUGGUAAGAACAUAUUUUAUAGGGACAGUAGAAGUGGAUAAGUUAUUCAAAUUGAUUAAGGUCUUGUGCGUGGAAUCUCUUUUGUGGUUUUCUGCUUUUUUACUGUGACAGGUGUGAAAGUGUCUUGCUUUUACAAAAUUAAACUUUAUGCUCUCAUAGCUCUCUAUAUCAGGGGUUCUCAACCUUUUGCAAGUUGAGCCCCCCUUUCAAAGGUUAGAAUAUUGUCCCCCCCCACCAACCUUGAUGUCAAUGCAUGAUUUCAAGCACUCAAAUUAUUCUACUUUUCUUUUCUUUUUUGAUAGCCACAUCCAGUGUUCUUGUGAGUUAUGUGAUUUUACUCUAUCUGUUUGAUGUAGAAGGUGUUUUGGCACCUUGCAAGCAGAUUCAGCUAAACAAGUCACCGACGCGCAAUUGUAUCAAUUUGUAAUUUAGACAAGACCUCCGUGCCCCCAGGUUGAGAACCACUGCUACAGAUACUAUUAUGUGUAUCUACGAUGUACUGUAUGUACUUUUGUCGAAUGGAUGGUGAAGCAGUUGACUGGAAUGUGUUAAUGAAAUUAAUAUAUCUUAAUUUUCGUAUCAAUGUUGCAGGUGAUGUCAUCAUUCAGCAAUUCACAUCCUUUCUCUCGGUCGUGGGCAGAGAAGAAUAAUUUGUUUCCUUCCAACCCCUGAGGCAGCGUCUGGAUGUCUUUCUCCACUCCAAACUCUGCACGUCCCACCCUGACCUGCUAAAGUUCUGCCAAAGUGCUCUCCUCCUGUCCCAUGGACAAGCCACAGUGGAGAGAGGCUUCUCAGUAAAUAAGGAGGUAGAAACGUGCAACCUCCGUGAUGAAUCUCUCGAAGCCCUCAGAUUAAUCUGCGAUAAGGUAAUUGUCUGUGGCGGCGUUCUGAAAGUUCCACUGACCAAGGAGCUCCUGGCCUCUGCUGCUUCAUCGAGGUCACAAUACAGGCUAUACCUUGAUAGUGAGCGGAAAAAAAAGGAGAAUGCCACACAGGAGCUGAAGAGGAAAGCAGCAGAGAAAGAGCUGGAGGACCUCCGGAACCGGCGGCAGGUACUCCACAGUGUGUGCCAUUCACUCCAAAAUGACGCCGACAAAUAUGCAGAGAUGGCCGAGGGAAAGGCAGGAACAAAGAUGGCUGAGCUCAUCACAAAAUCAAACACUUUUCGGAGAAGACACAGGGAAAAAAAAGCAGAACUUCUCCAAGUGGAUAAAAUGAUUGAAGAAAAGGCCACACAGUUGAGGCACUUGUGACCCUGCUGGCUAACUGUUGUUUAAGUUCUCUCUCUCUCUCUCUCGGACAGUUUUUGCGUCCAGUUGAAGUUAAAGUUAUUUCUUUGUUAAUAAGAUAUUGUAAUUACAGUGAAAGUUGCACUUUAUUAUUAUCUAGUUUAUUCUUUUUUUUCAAGGCCCUAAUUUAACCACUUGAAAUUAGUUUUUGUUAUGCAAUUGUUACUUUUUGACAUUUUGAGUAAAAACUAUGGACCAAG